CUUGAAUCCAUCUCUAGCCUCUACCAGAGACCUAUCACACCUUCGACCCAAUCGAAUCAACUUCCGCCAUUGCUAUAGGUUCACGUUCCGCUCACGCACCUAUAACCUUAGGGCUUACCAACCUAGGGUCUCCUAGGUCAUCCUAGACUUUCUCUCUUUACUUGCUCUUGGCUCUAAUACCAGAAUAAGCUGUCACGCCCCGCCCCGAAACCACUACCAAUUUGGCACGAUUCGGCCGCGGCGGUGGACUGCCGAACGGACAGCACCUCCCCUGCCGCCCAAGGCUAAACAACAGGAAUGUGUACAAGAAUUUACACAGGAAAUUAAAUUCUAAACGUACACACUCACAUCGGCACAAACAGUGCCAACAACACAAAGAGCAAGUAAUCCACGAGAUAAAGCAUGUGAAAUAGAGAGAGUACUUUACUAACUAUUACAUUAGUUCCAUUUUUUCAUUACAUCAUUUUCUUUAAAUGAAUACAUUCUUUUUCCCAAAAUACAUAGCUCUCCAAAUCCUCACCUACAAUGAAUCUCUCUCAAUACAUAGGUGUACUAAUGCAAAAAGGAAAGCUACUAUACUACCACGGCCUCACUGAUCAGGCGCGAUGCCUUUGCCGCGGUCCUCCCUCGGCAGUCCUGAACCUACCACUGGAAAUAGAGUGGGGUGAGAACUAUCUUCCAUAGUUCCCAGUGGACUCGGCCGCCGACUCUACCGAUCUCCCCACUAGGUUCAAGUGGGCACAAGUAACAAC
rnacentral:lncRNA from 1 species